rnacentral:lncRNA from 1 species
AUCGAUCGAACAAGGCAGGAGGAGGGGGAAACCCUAAACUCAAGAAAUCAAGCAAUUGAAGCCUAAAAUCAUAAGAAAAUCCAGUGCAUGAGCCCUCUUAUCGAUCAUCUAAGCAUACCUAGUGAAGUGCUUGAAAGAAUAAGAACCAUGUCAAGAUGGACCAACUCAUGGGAAGCAAACGGGUCAAAGAGGAGGCAAAGAAACUAGCAUAAUCAUGGCGAGCACAAGGUAAACCCUCAAUUCAGGCGACUUGGAGAAUCGGAGCGAGCGCGUGUUCAUGUUAUGUCGUACCAAACGCUUCCGCUAGCUUGUUCGAAUGUUUUUAGUCAAAAAUUUGUUGUAUUGGUUCUUAGUAGUAUUUUGUCGAAUGAAUCGUAGAAUUGUAACUAGUUUGAUUAUGUUUAAAACAGGGGUAUGCUCGUUUUAUGGACGGGUCAUGCCCAAUUUUUGUUAAAUAUAGUAUG